GCUCCGGUGGCGUAGUGGUUAGAGCGUCAGCCUCGGAUGCGGGAGGUGGUGGGUUCGAUCUCCAGUCGAGUCA